rnacentral:lncRNA from 1 species
AUAACACGGGGUUUUAGGUGAAUUCUGGCUUCCAAGCCUUGCUUGAUAGCCUAUUACAAGGGUGUAGACUCUUUGUUCUUUGAGAAGCAAAGAGCCCCCGAGCAAUAUUUUGAGUUGUGCUCAGUGGGUGCCUAUGUUUGAGUUGUGCUUUUGCAACACUCUCUUUGGCCCCCAAGUGAUUUCCCUGGUGGUCUUACGCCGAUCAAGAGGUGUAGCUAUGGUUCGAAUACGACCAAGCCCCCAAGUGAUUUCCCUAGUGGCCUUAAGUCGAUCAAGAGGUGUAGCUAUGGUUCGAAUACGACCAAGCCCCCAAGUGAUUUUUUUAUAUAUGGCUUUAUAGGCUGGAUCAAUGGGUAAACAGAACUCCUCUUUGUAAACAAAGCCCCCGUGUGAUCAAUAAUAUGAUAAGCCAAUAAGGCAGGAUACCCAUGUUUGAACCGCGCAUCAUGGCAACAGGCCCUCUUCGGCAACCUUUAACUUUUUGCAAGAGAUAAAUUCUUCUUGAACCGGGAUUUUUGAACCGGAUAUUGAGAGCGUCAGAGCUUUGCAAGAGAUAGUUUCCUCUUAAACCAGAUUUGAACCAGAUACUAAGGGCUUCAGCGCUGUGUGGGAGACGGGAUUUCCCUUAAACUGGCAUUCUUCAUUUUGAACAGGAAAUUUUCUGAUAGCCUUUAAACUUCCAUCAAUAUGGUAGUAGCCUCCGAGACCAGGUUAUCUUUCCCUCCAACAUCCUGGGGUUCUUGAAUUAACUGAAAACCGGCAACAUUUGCUGAGUCAUAUCAUUGUAGCCCCCGAGUCUCAAGGCGACUCGAGGAGUUGGCUUGAGAUUCUCCAUAUUUUGACUGUGAUAUAAACCGACAUAAAUUGUAUAUCAUUGGUGUUUGAUAUGUGACGCCCCCAAUUUGACCGUACACUAAUCAUACACGCAAAUGUGUACGACCAAGAUCAAGGACUCACGGGAAGAUAUCACAACACGACUCUAGACACAAAUAAAAUAAUACAAGCUUUAUAUUACAAGCCAGGGGCCUCGAAGGCUCGAAUACAAAUGCUCGAAGGCACAAGAGUCUGCGGAAGCAACAAUAUCUGAGUACAGACAUAAGUUAAACAAGAAUGCCUUAAGAAGGCUAGCACAAAAGUAGCAACGAUCAAAAAAUGCAAGGCCUGCUGCCUGGGACCUCCUAACUACUCCUCGAAGUCGAACUCCAUGUAGAAUCAUCAUCGGGAUCCUCUGGCUCCUGGACUCCAACAUCUAGUUGCGACAAACGGGUAUAGAAAGGGAAAAAGGGGGAGCAAGGCAACCGUGAGUACUCAUCCAAAGUACUCGCAAGCAAGGAGCUACACUACAUAUGCAUGCAUUGGUAUCAAAUGGAAAAGGGGUAGCAUAUGUGGACUGAACUGCAGAAUGCCGGAAUAAGAGGGGGAUAGCUAGUCCUAUCAAAGACUAUGCUUCUGGCGACCUCCAUCUUGCAGCAUGUAGAAGAGAGUAGAUGGUAAGUUCACCAAGUAUCAUCGCAUAGCAUAAUCCUACCCGGUGAUCCUCCCCUCGUCGCCCUGCACUACAAAAAAAGACACAUCCGUGACAUUUUGGGCCGAAUGAAUUUUUUUUCUGUCAUACAUAUGACACUUCUACGACGAUAAUUGUGACAAAACCCGGUAUCAUCAUAGAUUUGGUGGGCUCCUACUUCUAUGACAAAAAAUCAUGAUAGAAAAUGGGCUUUUCGUCCUGGGCGGGCCGGAGACGCAGCUGCAUGACAUUCUUUGGGCCGUCCAUGACGGAAAAAACCGUGGUAGAAGCGAGAGGGAGGAAAAUUUUGGGGAGUUCCCGGUUACGGUGGGAGGUCGGGGGCCGAGCGAUGCGCGUUUCUCUCAUACACGUACGCGCGUGUGUGCGAGGCGUUGGCUCUAACUGAACCUGGGCGAGGCGUUGGGCUCUAACUUAACCCGAGCGAUUGCACUGCAGGCUACGCGUUACUGAACCUGAGCGAUCGUUCAAUGGCUGUUAACUGAACCCGAUCGAGCGAUUCCUUCGCUACUGCUGCUAACUGAAGCCGAUCGAUGCUGCCUCUGGGAUGAACAGUGAGCGUUGCGGGGGGGGGGUAUGGAUGAACAGUGAGUGGUGGCAUUGCCUCUGGAUGAACAGGACCCCGUGGUGUGGUGGAGGGCUGGAUGAACAGUAGACGGUGGAGGGGUGCCCGUGGAGGGGUGGUUGAACAUGACCCCAUGGUGUGGAGGGCUGGAUGAACAGUAGACGGUGGAGGGGUGCCCGUGGAGGGGUGGUUGAAUAGUAGCCGGUGGAGUAGCGCACGGUGGAGGCUGGAUGAACAGGAGCCCGUGGAGGCUGGAGGAGGUCGACAGUAGCCCGUGGAGGCUGGAGGAGGUCGACGGUGGAGAUGAACAAUAUCCCGUGGAGUCCCGUUUUGCGGUAUGCCACACCCCUCCUGAUGAACAGGACCCCCGUUUCGACUGUAACACUCCAACACAAGUCCAUUUCGUCCGUUUUGUGGUACGCCAUACCCCUCUCGAUCAACAGGACCCCUGUUUUGACCGUAGGAGGUCCGUUUUGUCCGUUUUGCGGUACGCCACACCCCUCCCGAUCAACAGGACCCCCGUUUCGACCGUAGGAGGUCCGUUUCCUCCAUUUUGCGGUACGCCAGACCCCUCCCGAUCAACAGGACCCCGUUCUGAACGUAGGAGGUCUGUUUCCUUCGUUUUGCGGUACGCCAGGCCUCGUUUCCAUCGCCUGUUCCGUCCAAGCCCUCCCGAUGAACACGACCACGCAUUCCGUUCCAACCCAGCCGGUUGGCUCCCACGCGUUCCAUUGCCUCCCGAUGAACACGAAGCAUUCCGUUGCCUCCCCAUGAACACGACGACGACGUUGUUUCUCCGUUCCGACCCAGCCAUGUACAUGAGCCCUGGCCGUACGUAUGCGUGAGUAGGCGUUCAAGACCCUGCCCGUAUGUACACAUACGUGGCCGUAUUUUCUUUCUUGCACCCUGGCUGAUGUACGUAUGUGUACAUGCUACGUGCACGCCUCUACUACGACACGUGCGCGCCUCUACAUCCACAAGUAUAUAUGUACGUACACGUUCGCGACCAGAAUGACAACGCUACAUACGCUUCGACCAGGUGGGUCUCGACUGUCAGGCACUUCCUUGCGUGCGAAGAUGUAGCUGGUGGGUCCCAGCAGUCAGUGGGGCGAAUCGUUUAUUUUGCCCGAACGCACUUCCUUGCAUGCGAAGAUGUAGCUGGUGGGUCCCAGCAGUCAGGGGGAAACAUUUUUUUCGUGAAAUAUGGUGGCCCGUCCGUGGGUUCCCGCUGUCAGGUGGAGGAAUCAUUAUUUUGCGCGUAAUAAGGAAGCACUUCCUUGCUGCGGCCAUGGACCCAGUUGUCAGCCUCUCCACGUACACUCCACGUCCAAUGGAAGUCUUUCCUUGACCACGUUGACCACGCCGCGCCGAGAGCACCACGGCAGUGGAUGACGGCGAGGACUAGGAAGGGGACGACUCGGAGCGGGAAGACGCAGCAGUGGAUGCCCACGCGAAGAGGAGUACAAGAGUUCACUGGUUCGACUGCGGUGUGAGGCUACUGACGCCCCAGAAUAACAGGAGGUGUGGGCGAGUAGAGGGAUGGCCUGGUCAGCGGUGGGAGUAGUAGGGGGCGGUGAGGCCUCCGCGGCAUCACAGCCGGCCACGGGAGGCAGGAGCACGCGGCACGACCGGCGCUGGUUUGGGCGGCUGGAGCAAGAAGACCAGAGGUUGAAGAAGCACUACAGCCGUUGGAUGAACAUCGUACGGUAACAGGAGCUAGAAUCGUUCAUAUUGACUAAGUUGACAAAGCCCUCCAUCCCCGUCAACUUGGUAGGCCCACAAGUCAGCCUCCCAUUAUGCUGGGUUCCAGCUGGCAGGGGGAAUAUUCAUUUUUUUGUGUGUAAUAAGUAGGCACUUCCUUGCGUGCGAAGAUAGCUGGUGGGUCCGACAUGUCAGCGGGGGGCACGUUAUUUUUGUGAAAUUCAGAGGCCCUUCCAGUGGGUCCCAGAUGUCAGGUGGAGGAAUCAUUAUUUUGUGCGUAAUAAGGAGGCAUUUCCUUGUGUGCGGCCAUGGACCCAGCUAUCAGCCUCUCCACGCACAGUCUACUUCCGAUGGUGUCAUUCGUUGACCACGUUGACCACACCGUGCCGAGCGCAUCCAAGGUGGUGGACGACGGCGAGGCCCCGGACAGCAAUGAGCCGGAGAUGGGAAGACGCGGGAGUAGAGUCGUAGACGGAGAGGUGUAUGAGGGUUAACUGGUUCUAGUGCGGUGUGGUUCGGCAGUCGGUGGAGAAGAAUAGGAGGUGUGGAGGGGUGGAGGGAUGGCCUGGCCAAUGGUGGAGUAGCGCUUCAUAGCGAAGCCUGCUAAGUAGAGCUGCUAGCAGCAGGAGGCGGGAGGUGGUCCCAGCGGCGCUGGAGGAAGAAGACAAGAGAUUGAAGAUGGAUGCCGGUCGUUUGAUGUAAAUCCAACGGCUAACAUGUCAGAAUCAUUUGUUGACUAAAUUGACAACGACUUGCGUUGGCUUCGACCUAUUGGCCCAUAUUUCGGCCUCCAAAAAUGUGGCACGUAUUCAACCCAUUUUUUUCAGAAUUUACAGUCUUUUUUUGCGCGGUAGAAUUUACAGUCAAUUUGUUCUUUUUUUGAAUUACAGCCAUUAGCUGGGCUGGGUGAACAAAUAAUGCAGCGUCCAUGCGGCCCAUUUAUUUUAUUUCCUAAAAAAUUACACGCCAUUUGCACUUUCUCAAAAUACACAAUUUUGCUCGGUUGAUUCUAAUUAUAAUGUUGGGUUGGGCCAGCAAUGUUAUCAAGAAAUAAAAAGGGGUUGAGCAUUUUGUUAUAAAUAUAUUUAAAUAAUAAGUGAUAUUAUUACAUUCGUCCUUAAAUCUUACCAAGCUUUUGUACACAAUCACUAGGAUUUUCGUGCCAAAACAAUCCAGGAUUUUAUUUGUUAAGAAAUUAUUUUUAUAAGUUAAUAAGAUGUGGGAUAUUGUUUUCUUAUAUAUGUAAGUAUUUGUUAAAUAUAUGAUGACAAUAAAAAUAAUAUAUAAUAUCAUAUAAAAUAAUUUAAAUAUAUAUAAUAUAGUUAAAAGGGAAACAUAAGUUGGACCUGGCGUUCCUAUUCUUAUAUAGAAAAAUAGAAUAGACCUCUGUGUUUUCUUCAAAAAAAUACAUAAAUUGGGCUGCCAAAAAUAAAACCUCGAAUGGGAGGUCCAUAGGCCGGUCGAUACAUGACGGCCCUAAGAAAAUAAAAACAGGCCUAUGGACCUCCCAUCCGAGGUCGUGGGCUGCGCAUGUUAAAAAUGAAAGCCUAGACGGGGCAGCCCAAAACCACGUCCAACACUUGCCAAAACUUCGUCUCCCGUUUUCUCUGUGUUUCGCACACUCAACAUUGUGUGUGCAUUUUGACUGUGCAUCAUAUGAAGAUGUGCUAUGCAUGAAUGUUGAUCAGCAUGAUGUUAACUGGCUGGUAGUUCCAUUUUCGACCAUGAAUAAAACUUCCAACAUGAUGUUAACCCUGUUUGAAAAGGCCGUGUUAAUAUAAAUGCUCUUCCUCUGAAAGUUGCAGUUUCUUAUCUGAAAUUGAACUUGCAGUUUCUUAUCUGAAACUGAAACUUGCAGUUUCUUCUCUGAGAAUCACAUUGUCUGCACUUUUAUACUUCUAUGAAACUACAUUUUUUAAGUGCUAAAAAUAGAUCUCUAGAAUUCGUAAAAUACUUCAUAUGCUCAAUACUGCAAAUCUGAUAUUCAAAAGACAUUCAUAUCUGAAAGUACUCUCAAAAUACACAACACAAAACACAAUUCACAACCUGCAAAUACUGAGAACCCUAAGCUCUUCCUGACAAUUCACAACUUGCCCGACUAUUGGGCUAGGGGGGCAGCCCCCUCCUAUUCCUCGGCGGCAGACAGUCGCCCCGUGAGAUGAUGUGAACGGCGAGGGGACGAUGGCGGGGAAGCGUCGUUGGGCCAACUGCUUUUCUCCUCUUGCGGUUGGGUUCGGUCGACGAAGACUCCAUCGGCUCACUCUGGCAGGACACCCUCACAAACGGCACCCUCUAGAUGCUCGAUCCUUCAAUCUCUGGUGGAUGCUCCAUCUGGGAUCGAUACUCCCACCACCACUCCCUCACGAUUGGAUUCAGUGAAUCUGUUUGCUCCAUGGCCCAGAGGAGCAACUCUAUGUACUCCGGCGUGACUCCCUCCGGGAGUAUCGUCGCCUUUUCGCUCUGUUGCAGAUAUUUGGCCAUGGAUGUCACCGUCGCCGCUAGUUGGUCCUUGUUGUCAAACCAAGACUGUAUCUCCAACAUCCUAGCUAUCUUCACACGGUCGCCGUCUGCGAUCCUCAUGUAUCGGUUGUACUCCUCCAUCGAUCUACUUCUCCACAGCACCUUCACUCUCUGGCGGUGGUAUUUGAAUGGAAGAGGAGAGGAGCAGCGCUGGUUUUGGAUUAGAACAGGAGAGGAGCGACGCUGGUUUUGGACUAGAACAGGAGAGGAGGGGUGGUGGUUUUGAAAUGGAAGAGGAGAGGAGUGGCGCUGCAUUUAGAUUGGAACAGAAGAGGAGCGGCGGUGGUUUAAGAGGAGAAGAGCGGAAGAGCGGCGCUGGUCUUGGAAGUAUUUUUUUUUGUUUUGCAUAUUUUGGGUCAAAGUUUGACCACGUACUGUAUUUGACAAGCAAAAUGUGAAUGCAUGUCACCAAAAAUUGUAUCAUUUGGUUCGUAUCUGAAUGUACUUUCAAAUAUAUUAUUUUUGCAACGUAUAACAUAUAUUUUAUGUGCGAAAACCAUGGUCAAUUAUGACCCAGAAUAAAAGGGAUACUAGUUAAUGUGGGGUUGCUUUCUUAAUUGAAGGGUAAAUUGAUUUUGAUCUAGUCACAGCGCGUCGGCCCUCUCGUCCAAUCCUAAAUCGCUGCCGCACGCUCCUCUCCCUCUUCUCCAUUGCAAAACCACCUCCUCUCCUCCCCAUCAUCUCCAUUCCAAAACCACCAUCUCGCCUCUCCCUCUUCUGAUCUUCUCCAUUGCAAAACCACCUCCUCUCCUCUCCAUCAUCUCCAUUCCAAAACCACCGUCUCGCCUAUCCCUCUUCUGAUCUUCUCCAUUGCAAAACCACCUCCUCAUGCACAUGGCCCGGAGGCGCAGUUGUCGUCAUUUUGAUCUGAAGCGUCGGAUUAUAACAUAUAACACGAAAAAUGCCACAUGACAAGAAAUCAUAACCUCGCUGCCCAAAGGAGACAACAUGAAUCGUGACGGACAAACUAGACGAGGAACAAAGCUCAAAUUAAAGAUAAACUCGUAGAAAAGGGGUCCGUCGAUAGAUGUCCUAAUUAACAUAGCCGGCUUGAUCUAGAUGGCAGCCGAGUAGUCACUGUUCGUGCAUGUGCCCCCAAUGACUAGCCCAACUCAAUUAUCGCUGUUUAACCCUCGCAGUGACCCGAAGCACAUGACACCUAAUUUUGCGAGAUGACAAGAAACCUUUUUUUAGACUUCUCACCACAACUACAGCCAUGUACAACACAGCCUGCACGAUAUGUAGACGAUAGCCAAUCCAGGCGUGUCUGCUGGAGUCUGGUCACAUGCAUGGAUGAAUUGAUCUUCCGUGUCUUGCAGGGAUCGUCCAGGCACCAACGUAGUACAACGCUUCUCUAGUACUAUCGCUCGGCUCCCUCUUCUAUUAAGUCACCCGACUUGCGGGGCCGGGGAGUGUGCCUAUGGUCGGUUCUCAAUUGCCGUCCCACAUGUGUGUGCAAAUGCAAUAUGACGCGCGUUCCAUUCGGAGAGCAGCGUGCCAGACCGACCGACCGUCUGGGGUGCGACGCGAAUGAGGCGGGUGUGUUGUAUACUCCAUACAUGUGUACCGCCGUUUUCUAGACGCUUUGCUCCAUGGCGUGGGCGCAAUCCAUGGAUACAAAAUUAGUAUACUGUAUACUAUUUAAAAGUCGAGGGCGGGGCUUUUCCUGCGUGGUAGGCGGCGGGGCAGUUCCGCCUAGUUGGUUCGACAGAGACGCGAGAAGACGAGGGAGUAGGCUGCUGCAAACGUAGGGCUGUGUGAUUUGACAGCGAGUUACUGCUGGACAGGUGGGGCCCCAUGAUUUGACUUGCCAUUAUCAUUUUAACUACGGUGUUACAACUGGCGUAAGUCUCCCGAUUCUUGACCUCCAUUACAAAGAAAGAGAUAGAGAGGAGUAAAAAAUUACACUUAUAGCCAACCUUGUUGUAGUAUGAGUGACUAAGUGAUGACUAUGUAUGACAUGCCAACAUCAGAUAGCCUAACGCACCGUGUUAAAUCUCCAAGGGCGCGACCGCGCGAGUGAUGCGACGGUCGUGGUAGGCGCGACCAUGAUACGGGCUGCUGGCAGCCCUUCGAUCUGAGAUCAAACGGUCGCAUGCUAAGUUGCUGAAAAUUUGCAAAGUAACCCUCCAGGAUAGGAUAUUCACCCAUAGGUCUAGAAUCACGCCAUGCAACCGUUCGAUCUCAGAUCCAAGGGCUCUCGGAAGCCCGUAUCAUGGGAGAAUGGAAAGCCACUACCCUGUCGUUCGCACGCUGGCAGUUCGCUCCUACUCGUCCCUGCACGUCCUUCAAUACUACGGCGGUUCGCUCCUAGUCGUCCCGUCCAUUCACAUUACGACAGUUCCACUAAUCCUAACCCUCCUCCCAAAUCCAUGGCGUCCCAAAUCUCCACGAUCGGCGGUGAGUACAAGGUUAGAACCAUCACCGGCGAUGAGUUCAACGUCAUCUACACCCGUUCUUCCGCCAUGGUGAAAGGAUUCCUUUCUCGCUUCAGGUGCAAGUUCGAAAACUCAGAUGAUGAGUGGGUCGCUGGGCUAGAUGUUGAGUACACCACAGUCCUGGGACUAGAGAAGGAUCUAAAGGACGAACAGAGGAAGAAGCCCACCGUGAUCCAGGUUUGCGUACAUAACGUUUGCUUGGUCUACCACAUAUGCCAUGCCGACGUUGAGUGCCAGGAUUUUAAGAACUUCCUCAAGGACAAAAUAGUGAAAUUCAUUACUGUAGACUUUAAGAACGACAGGGAUGUCCUGCGCCGGAUAGGUCUCGUUGUAGGCAACCCCUUCGACCUCUAGAAGAAUCGACUGGUGUCCUCUCAUUAGCCUUCAAUGCUGACCCUAGCAGGAGCCAUGGUUCAUCCUUUGUAUGGUAAACUGUAGAAACCUCCAUACACAUUUCAUCAUCAUGCAUGGCAGUGGAAUGUACUAGAUAUAGACCACAUCCACUACGCUGCAAUGGAUGGCUACCUUUGCUUCAAUAUCUACAAGGGUUGGAUGAAGAGCAACAGCCAAGUGUGCGGUUCAAGCAAAGAAGUAUCGGCCAAGAGGAAGAGGGACAAGGACGAAGUCGAGGACGUGGACGAGGACUCCGAGUAAGGUGGCAGUGUCAUUGCUCAUGGUGGUUCUAAUGCAGUGUCUACCGGAAUAGUUGCAAAGUUUAAUUUCAGGUGUGCUUAAUUUAAUUUGAGGGGUGUGUUGUGCUGAGCCCCCAGCAGAACUAUGUUAUGUUUCUUCUCGUUACUUUAACUCUUCAGUACGUACAUACUAGUAUUUCUUACAUUUCAUCUUUUAGUUGGUAUAGUACUACCACUCAUUUCUUCACAUUAUAUACAUACAAUAUAUAUGGCCAACAUCAUAUAGCCGGCAGUUUAGUUGUCAAAGAAUUUCAGGGUGCUUAUUUUGUCAAAGAAUUCCAGGAUGCUUAGAGGGUGCUUGGAUCCAAGGGACUUAUUUUAGUCUGACUAAAAAUAGUCUCUUUAAGAGGCUAAAGUUCCAAACACACCUGACUAAAGAGGGGCUAAAACUAGUCUUGAGACUAAAAAAAUUUAGUCAGGGGUACCCCUACUAAAAUGUGGAUUAGUCCUCUCUCUACUCAUUUAACUCCUCUCCUUUAACACAAGCGAGUUCUGGAUUGGAGGGUUUGGAGGAUAAUAAAUGCUUAUUAACUUGAUUUUAGCCUUUUUAGUAUUUGGAUCCAAGCAUGGGUGAGGCUAGCAUGUUUUAGUCCCACUACUUUUAGUCAUGGGACUAAAACGUAUCCAAGCGCCCUCUUAGUUUUAUUUGAGGGGUGGGUUGUGCUGGACACCAUUAUUGUGACUAGCCUUUUUAAUAGUACUAUAUGCAUAAUUUGGCGACGAGCGCUCUCUAUAUGUACCACCUUUUUUUAAUUUCAAGUUUUGCUCCAUGGCGCAAUCCAUCGAUACUACUGUUGUACAAAAGUAUACAUUUCUUAAAAGGCUAGAGGACAGGGCAGUCUAGCUUGGUCGGUUUCACGGGAGGCGAGGGCCUUUGUGAUUUGACGGUUCAUUACUGCUGGAAGGCGGGGCCUUGUGAUUUGACUGCUCAUAUAAAUGCGCUGACGACCUGAUCGAGGAGAAGCAAAGAAUCGUGCGGUAUACUCAAGUUUUCCAUUGGAGUAGUACUGCGACGGAGGAGCAUGAAACACGACAGCCCAGUGCCAUAUGGCGAUAAAAAUGAUCUAAUUUUCUAGUCAUCUCAUUGUUAGCAUUGUUCUAUUCAUUCGCUCAAAAAAACCAUUGUUCUAUUCAUGCCUUGCAGAGAACGUGACAUGUGCGGCGAAACAUCUGAAGCAAAAGAUGAAACACAGGAGCAAAAGAAGAAGGAAGAUUAUCACCCCAAAUGAUCUAAUUCGCCGCGGAGUCGUAACUGCUUCUUCAUCGCCUCCACGACCUCCAUCUCCUUGCGUGUCUCCUCCGCCAUCUUCUUCAUUCUGUCCAUGACGCGGGAUUUCUCGAUGCGGGCCUUCAUUAUCUGUUCCACGGCCGCAUUACGUACCUUGACAGCAGCCGGGUGCUCGAUGCGGAGCUUCGCCAACUCCUCCUUCUGUUCCAUGAUGAGGGCCUGCAGCAUCUUCAUCGAGGAACUACUAUUCUCAUGCAGCUUCUUCCAGCCGGCGUUCUUCUCCUUCAACAGGUCGAUCUCGUGGCAGAGCUUCGCUUGUCCUCCUGAAGUCACAGGAUUUCGCCGGUUGCCUUCUUCUCUGAGGCAAUGCUCUUCUUCAGCAGCAUCACCAAGCCGGCGGUCAACUCCCCCUGCUGAUUGAGCUCAGCGGGCAUGUCAUCAAGGCUCUCCUUCAGCAACUCCAUCAAGCCUUGGAUGAACUCCUUUUGCUUAUUGAGGUGCUUAUUGAGCUGAUCGGGCAUGCCGUCGAGGGAUAACGACUCCAGCUCCGCCGGCUCGGCAUGUUCACCUCUGUGGCUAGGGCGCUCAUGGGAGCCAUCGCCUACCCGUGAGAUAUCUUUCAAGGUCUCUGCGUGGCGGCGAGCCCUCUCUUUUUUUCCACAGCCUUGGUUGUCGCUCCCUUGUUAUGAGUAGUUCUCGACCUAGAGCUCUGCUCACCGGCCAUGGCAACAACGUACGAAGAAGAAGCACUUAUGAGGAGGAAAGGUAGAUUAAUUUUCGGUUAGGUAGUUCCCCUUUUUAUAACCUAAGUACUAGCACUAGUACUAAUACCUGCAUAGUGGGAACACGUUCAGGUUUGGUAUGUACUAGUAGGUGUGAGCAGGCUUUCGAAUGUGAUGGGAACAAGGUAAAGAUUAAUUGAUGGUUUUGGUUUCGAGGCCCGAAACGGCUCCCGAUGAGUUUAGCGGAACAUAAAUUUCAAGUACUACACUGCUCAAAUGUGUAAAUAUUAUGUUACUGUCAAAAAUUGGCACAAAAUACGAAGGAGACCAAUGGAAGUACUACUAGCAACCCACGAUUUAACUACUCACGUGCACGCAGGGAGUAAUAAUUGGCACAAAAUAUGAAGGAGACCAUCAAUGAAGUGAACGACUUUACACGCGUCAAAUUAUCACAUGGGGUGGAUCUUGGUACAAAAUCGCGUUCGCCCGUGUAUCCGCGUGUGCGUGCGAGGGAAUGAGUGCGUGUGUGGCAUGCACGCACAUCUUCGCUUCGUGCAUUUACCGCCAGUAUGGCUCAGGGAGGACGAGUACAUUCUUCUGGAACCAGCAGCACGUCACUGUGAUCAAUCCACGCAAGGAGGUCGCGACAACACCUCCACAUGUGCCACGUGGCUUCAUGAACUGUAAGAGAGACACUGUGUAGUGUGCCAUUGGUAUUCUAAUUUACGUGUUUUGCACAUAAUCGAAGUACUAGUAAGGUACACGUGCAUUCCACGCAUCAGAUUUUGCAACCAAAUUAUGAAUAAAUACCACACUAUAGCAUGUAAGCUCUGAGUCAUAUAUGCCUGAUGUAGCCCUUCAUUUAAUUCUUAUAGUUCAUCUCAUUCAAAAUCAAUUAGUUUUUAUAAAAAAGCUAAGAAUGCGGGAAUGGGAAAAACAUGGGAUUAUAGUGGAAUGUCGUCUUGAAUCCUACAGGAUUGUACGAGUGUUUGAUUGUGCAUAAAAAACGUAGAAUUCUUUCAAAGAGGUUUGAGUGGAUGGGAUGUUUCCUAUGAAAUCUAGUGCAAAUGAAUCAUAUGGAAAAAUUCCUAUGGUUUACAAUCCUACGAAUUAAACAACCAAGAUAGGAAAAAUUCCUAAUGAUUAGAAUCCUCCAAAAUUCCUUUGAGAAUCCUUUGAAUCAAAGAAGCCCUUAAUCUAUUUUAUGAUUCAUGGAAUUGUGUGUUGUACAGCAUAAAGUAAAAACAAAUAAUGGCAAUUCAACUAGAAAAAAGUUUGGGCAGUUAUGAUACAGAAGAUUCUAGAACAAAAGAGAACCACUGUUGUUUUGAGGUUUGUGCAUUAUGCUUAAGUUCAACCAUGGAAUCUGCUAGAUUGUACAUGUGGCAAAAUCCGGUGGGGGCUAGAAGAUGGUGCGAGGGGCCGAGUGGAGGGAGACUAUGAAGGAAUGCACAGGUGCGAGAUCAAUAUUUAGAGAGAGGGGGCGAACACGUGCGCUGUUGCGCGCAGUGGCGGAGCCAUGAAAAAUAAAUGAGCUAGGGGGCCAAGCAUUGCUAAUCCUUUACGAGGAGGGUCAAUUCAUGAACUUAAACCAUUUUUAGCAGCAAUUGUCUAAUGAUCACAUUCAUAUUAGCCUGGAUAUAUAGUGAUGUUAGGGGGGAGGGGGCAGGGCCAUUACUGCCCCCUGUCUUUGCCAUUGUGCAUGCGUCUAAGAGAUGAAGCGGAAGGCAUGGAUGAUGAGAGGGGGGCGUUGGAUAUAUAAUUAAUGUGGGUGUAUUAGCUAUAUAUGUUAAUCCUAUAUAGAGAGGUAUAGAUUGAUCGAUGUGGAUGUGGGAAAGAGGGUGAGACCUCACUGGAUAUAUCGAUUGAUCGGUUUGUGUGGAAAACUAUGAAAGACCUGGCUAUAUACACACAUACAUAAAGGAACAUCGAUCGUUGCGCAUGCACGCGUGAGAGAUAAAGAAUGUCCGAUAUGAUGGAGAGGGGGAUGUGUGUGGGUGUGUGCCUUCAUGGGAGACCGACCUGAAGAAAAAGAUUGCAUGCGUGCGAUGGAUAAUGCCGACUGGUAGUGUGUGUGCAUGCAUGCACGAGAGAAAGUUAGUGGUACAAUUAUAAAGAGAAGACUACUGUGUGGGUGUAAAAGAAUAGGUGAGGUCAUAAUCAAUGUAAAGUUGAAUUCAAAUAUUUGAAUAAGAGAUCCUGAUGUUUGAAACCCAUGCAUGCAUGAAUAUAACGGACAUCUGCACGGUGUGGUUUGGAAAUGAGCAUGUUGUAAUGUAUACACAUUAAACAAGGUCAGAUUGAUUUGAAUUUGAGAUACCGGUGGCAGACAUCAUUUGGCCACGUCGCAUCCGUGCAUGGACACACUAUUCUAAUUGGAGAUGAUGGGCGGCUUUCGCAUCACAUAUCUAUAUCUAUACCCCUAUAUAUAUAUUAUAUUUUAUAUUUUUUUUAUAUUGUGUGCGGGUAACUUUAACUUUGAAAGAUGGUCAUUGGAUGAGGCGAAUCCGAUGGUCCAAAGAUGGCAAAUUUGAGCACUACUGGCCGUUGGAUAUCAUCUAGAUUCCACCAGAUUUCGCCACAUGUAUAAUCUAGAAGACUCCAUGGUUGAAAUUAAGCAUAAUGCACAAACAUCAAAACACAAGCACUUCUUAUUUGUUCUAGAAUCUUCCAUAUCAGAAUUGCUCAAAUUUUUUUCUACGUGAUUUGCCAUUAUUUGUUUUUACUUUAUGUCUUACGACGCACAAUUCCAUGAAUCUUAAAAUAGAUUAGCUUUCUUAUAAAAACUAGAUGAUUUUGAAUGAAAUGAACUAUAGGAAUUAAACGAACAUCUACAUCAUGCAUAUAUGACUCAAAGCUUGCAUGCUAUAAUGUGGUAUUUAUUCAUAAUUUGGUUGCCAAAUCUCAUGCGUGCAAUGCACGUGUACCUUACUCUAGUCUAAAUGGUGUCUGUGUGUGUGUGUGUUGUGCGUGUUGAGGUGCAAAUUGUCUUUUUCUUGGUACACGUUAAGCUUGUUCUUCCGAAAUUUCAAGCCGCGCCUUGUUAUGCCAAAAAUUCAAGCUAGCGUCUCUGUCUAUCGUGCUGCGAAACUCCCGCCUCUUCAACACGCGCCUUGUUAGCCCGAAAUAUUUAAGAUAUAUCUUUGUCUCGCUGUGCUCCGACAACUCCCUCCAUCUCAACCCGCGCCUUGCUAUUCUGAAAUUACAACGCGCGCGAAAACUCCCACCUCCUGUGAAAUCUCGACAUGCGAAAUGCCCGUGGUACCCCUGAACCGAAAAAACCGCCUCAAAUCAGUGGGGGUACUUUUGUAACUUACCCCACAUUUCGGACAAGCGCGUCUCUAAGCCAUGGUUCUCCACUGCCAUCCAAUCCGCCCACCCAUUCGUACACCAAGGCCGCGAAAACCCACGACGAAACCCCACACCCUGCUCCGUCCGCCACCCAGCCGGAGCCUCUUCCCCGACGACGUCGUCCACAACAACACCUCGACGUCCCUCAUCCACCGUACUAGAUGAGGAUCCAUCGUCGAUCUCAUUGUCCCGCCGGUUCAGCCACCCCGUCCUCCACCUCCAAGGAGCUGCCCCGAUGUUCCCCUCGUCUUUCGCGCCACCUCCAUUCCCACACCGCCGUCUUCACCUGCACCACCGGAAGAGCAUCAUCAUCACCGUUUCCUCGGAUGAAGAUGCGGCCUAAUCGGCGCCACCAAAGAGGUUGUACACUAAUCGCCGCAUUUUCUUCUUGAUUCGAUCUCACGGUGCUACCGGCGCUCGGUCCCAAGCCGACACGGCGCGGCUCCAUCCACGGCGGCAUCGCCGGCCACUUCCUCCACGGCGUCGCUCCCUCGGCGGUGACGUCCACAUUAGUAGGAGCUGCUGCUGCAUUAGCUCUCGCUCGCGCUGCUGCUCUGCUCUUGCUCUCGGUCCCCUGCCUGGUCUGCUCUUGCUAUUGCUCUUGCUCGCGCUGCUGCUCUCGCUCUUGCUCUUGCUUGUGAUGCUGCUCCGAUUUAGCUACACUUCAGUCGACUGAAUCAACUUUUGGGUCAGUCAAUUUUUAGGGGGUGGGGGGCUCGCCGGGGUGAAGGAAGAACCAGCCGCAUCGGGGAGGGGGGCUCACCGGAGAGGUACCCCACUAUCUAUCUUAGGGUUCAGGAUGGGGGCGGUGGUCGCCGGCGGUGGCGGGGCGGUGGCAUGGGGAUCGUCGUAGAAAAAGCUUGGCAUGAGGAGCCCUAGAGGGAUGGACGGGGCGGCGGCGGACCGGUGGUGGGGAGUGUUUUCGGGGCGGGCGGGGCGGCGCACCGCCGGCCGUGGACGGCGGGGGGCUGUUGUUUGGUCGGUGGUGGCUGGCGGCUCAGGGGGGUGGAGGUUGAAGAUGAACCGCAAGCCCUUGAUUUCGUAUCCAACGGCUGCAAAAUCGACUGACCAGAGAUGAAAAACUUAGUCGACCGACGUGUAGCCUCACCUUGCUAGUGCGUUCAGUUUCGACAGCAAAAUUCAGUUUCGAUAGCAAAAUUCAGUUUCGACAGUUAAGUUCAGUUUCGACAGUUAAGUUCAGUUUUGAUAGUUAAAUUCAGAUUUGACAGUUAAGUUCAGACAUGAGCGGCUGAUGUAUUUUACAUAUAGCACUUUUUGGUUAUGUAUUUUACGUCAUGUAUUGGAGAUGCUAUUAGAAUUCCACUCGGGUUAACGUUGUUCGUUGUCUCUCUUGUCCUGCUUCAGCCUCGGCGUCGUAUAAUUCACCGGAGCUGCUCCAACGACGAAACCCUCCAUCACAGCGGAGCAGUACCUCGGGCUCCAUCUCCAGAAGCCUAAGAUCUUCUUCCCCUCCUCCGACAGCCAAGUCAGCCGGAGCAUCCUCAUCGGCCAACCCAAUCAAGCUGAGAUCGACAUGGCUUCGCCAAAGAGGUUGUACACUUGUUGCAUCUCUUUUUUACUCUACAUGUUAUAUAUAUUGUCCACUGAGCACUCGUAGUAACGGGAAAUACGAUUAUUUUAUCCUACUAUAUGACAAGCAAUGAGUUACCAAGAAACUUAGCUAUCCGUGAUGGACUCUCUUGAACGCCAUCAUUAUUCAUCUCUGUGCGUUUGAGCUGUGCAUUUGUCGAUGGGCCUGGGAGUUGAGCUAGUAUGGCAGUGGCCUGGGUCCAAAGUAAUAGAAGUAGCACAAAAACAUUUUUUAGUGUAGGAUUUUCCUUGCUCAAGCCUGCCUACUAGAAUCGCCAGUGCUUGAAAGGAAAAGUGAAUGAAAAACAUCGGAAUUGGAAAGUUUCCUAUGGUGCUACUUUUCAUGAAUUUGGUGCAAAGGAAUGGAGCAAAGGAAAACUGUAGGAUUUGUUCCUUUAGUGUCUCCUUGAAAGAAAAACCGUAGGAAUUCUAAUUUCCACUUCUCCUCCUUUCCAUAUUCCUAUUCAUCAAGCACAAGACUAAGAGAUAGUAGCAUAAUAGCAUUAUAACCAUACAUUUUCUUGUGGUUUGACUUAAUCUCACCAUGCUUUUUUGCAUCCUGUGAUCUUCCAAUUGUUGUGAAUCAAACACCCAGAUUGGCAGAAAUCUUGUGUUUUUAAAUUCUCUGUUUUGCACGUGCAUUCCUAUCCUAUUCAUGUCUAUUUCCUAUCCCUGCAUUGUUAGAAUCCUCAAAUUCAAACAAGCCCUUACUCAAUUACUUCUGUUACAGAUAUGUGUCAAAGAAAACCUUGUGUGGUUUGUCCUGCUCCUGCGGCGCUGUGUUCCACCCCAGCUCAGCUGCUCCAACAACGGAAGGGUUCACCACAGCAGGGAUCCGCUCUCCAGACUGUCUUUCGCUGCCUCGGAUCUUCUUCCCCGCCGCCGGCAGCCACGGCAACUGCAUUACCAUCAUCAACUGAGCAGAUGACCUUGAGGACUACACGGGUCCGCAAGAGAGGUCGCACUCUUCCGUGUCUGCUUACGUUAUGCGUCGCUUAAUAUGAUGACAUGCUACAUUAUCGUCGUGUUCACCUGUUAGACUCCGAGUUAGGUCCAAAUUAAUGCUGAAACCUGAGUUUUUAAAUGGUUGUGGGGUACAUAUUGGGGCAGCAAUCAGUACUAUCUGGUUAAUCUCCGAUGUCUACUAUGAGUUUCAUGUUGGGUGCAAACAAACAUUAAAGGAGCCAUUAUCUGUAUUUUUUAACUAAAGCUAUUAUCUGCCUACUAUCAUUGGUUUUGGGUCUAUCCACAGUUUUCUACCAUCACUCUGGAUUUGUGCAUGCACUCCUUACAUAAUCUCACUAUGUUUUAUUCCUAUGCAUGCCAUUUAUUGUACACAAUGGAACUGAUCAUGUAGAGAAAAAGAGACGAGCCUUGCAUGGCAAUAAAAUUUCAUGCAGAUGUUGUUCCAUGGUGGGCGCAAAGGCAGCCCCCCUCCACCCAUUUCGGAUCGUAAUCAAGAGGAAGAUAACUGUUCUGAGGGGGAUUCAGCAGGAGAAUACCACUCCUAUUUACCCCAUGAGGUCUUCGCUCUAACUUGGCAUGCUGAUGUUGGUAAUAUCAUGCAUAUGGUGCCUUGCAUUGCUUACUAUAUACAUUAAAGAUGACAUCUGCUUAGUUUAGACAUGCUUUGUGUCAAUGCCAUCUGUUUAGUUUCUUUAUCGUAUAUAUGAAUCAUGCAAUGCCAUCUUGUCUAGCCAGGCAUCAUAUAUGUGAAUUUUGCAAUGACACCCUGGUUAGCCAGUCAUCUUAUAUGUGAAUUAUAUCAUGCCAUCAUUUUUUAUUACGUGUUAAAUUUGUCAACAAUUUUAGUACAUUCAAUUACUCUUCCUGUGCAUCAGCCAUUCGGCAUGGUCAUGGAAAAAUCUGGAGUGAAAACAAGGUCUUCAGAGCAGACAAUGCUAUCUGACGAAGUGCAUGUCUUGCUGGUUACCGAUAGCUCCUCAGAGGAGGAUUCAGAGACAGAUGACCAAUCAUAUCCCCCCCCCCCUCCCGAGGUGCAUGCCCUAAUUUGGCAGGGUUAUGUUGCUCAUAUCGUGCGUAUGGUAUCUUGCAUUGCUAUGUCAUUUGCUUAGUUUAGACAUGCUUUGUGUGAAUGCCACCUGUUUAGUGUCUAAUUACCAUAUAUGUGAAUUAUGCAAUGCCAACUUCUUGCAAGACAUUAUAUAUGUGAAUUAUGCAAUGUCAUCUUGUUGCAAGGCAUUAUGUAUGUGAAUUAUGCAAUGCCAUGCUGUUUAGGCAAGCGUCAUAUAUGUGAAUUAUAUCAUGCCGCCUUUUUUUGUAUUUCUCAUUGCUUUUGUAGACAAUGUUUGUAUAUUCAACUGCUCUUCCUGUGCAUCAGCCAUUUGAAUUGGUGAUGGAGAAAUCUGGAGUGAAAACAAGGUCUUCAGAGCAGACAAUGCUACCUGCUGAAGCAGAUAUCUUGCUGGUUACAGAUAGCUCUUCAGAGGAGGAUUCAGAGGCAGAUGACCAGUCCUAUUAUCCCCCUGAGGUGUAUGCUCAAACUUGGCAGGGUUAUAUUACUCAUAUAAUGCAUAUGUUGUAUUGCAAUGCUUAGUUUUUACAUCAUAUACACAAUAUUGAAUGCCAUCUCCUUAGUUGACACAUCAUAUAUGCGAUUGCCCUCUGCUCACUUCCUUAGUAUAUAAAUCAUAUAUUUGAAUUAUGUCAUGCCAUGAUGUUUACAUAGACAGCAUUUAUCUGAAUUAUGGCAUGCCAACCCAUUUUCUAAAGACAUAAUAUAGUUAUAUCAUCUCAUCAUGUUUACAUAGUCAUCAUAUUUUAAAUUAUGCCAUUCUAUCUGUGAAUUAUAUCAUGCCAUCAUGUUUCCAUCGAUGGCAUGUUUGUGAUUUAUGGCAUGCCAACCACUUUAAUAGACACAUUGUAUAGUUAUAUCAUGUCAUCCUGUUUACAUAGUCAUCAUAUUUUGAAGUAUGUCAUUCUAUCAUGUUUAGUUAGCCAUCAUACAUGUGAAAUUGUGUCAUUCUAUCAUGUUUAAUUAGCCAUCAUAUAUGUGAAAUUAUGUCCUGCUAUUCUGUUUGCUUAGACAACAUAAAUGUGAAUUAUUUCAUGCCAUGUUUCUUCCCUACUAUCCAUUGCACCUGUCUAUCUUACAAUGUCUGUACAUUCAAUUACUUUUCUUGUUUAUCAGCCAUUUCAAUUGGAGGGAGUGAUGGCAGUAUCUGUGGGAGUAAAAACACGGUCUUCAGAAAAGAUCGUGCUACUUGUCGAUGCAGAUAGAACCAUGGUUGUACUUGCCCAAGAACUAGCCCCACCACACAUAGCCCACACUCAUGCAGAUUGUACCCCUACCUAGUUGGACAGAGAACCAGCUACACCUCUUCUAACCCCAACCCCAGCAGAUAGACACCCAGUUCCCGUUGACACAACAUCAUCGCCACCACAGAGCACCCAAACACGAGGAGUUAGUAAGGCAACUGCAGUGCCCAAAUCACGAGGACCACCACUCCGAACCCGAAGUCAAUGCUUAAAGCAGAAGAAGAAUUGUUCUCAGGUCAGGUUCCGUAGUUAUGGUUCAUACUACUUUGCUCUUGCAUCACUGUAUUUACUGAUAUCAACUAAUUUCAAAUUUGAAGGAUGCAAUUGAAACUCCAAUGGUGCAACAGGUAUGUUUUAAACAAGUUUCUUCAUAGUGUUUGGUUGUUUGCUAUUGUAACUUGCUCUAUGUUGAUUUUAGUUUCAAUUGAAUAAACAGUUAUGUUCUCAUGCCAUGCACAUUACAAGUGUUGUUGUCACUGUGUAGUUUCCCACACUUAUAUUAUGUCUAUGUUGCUUUGUCUUAAAUAGAUAUGAUUCGAACUGUAUCUAUCUUGAUUUGGCAACAUAAACUAGAAUGAUAUAGACCAUAUAGUGACCAUACUACAUAGAUAUAUGUUUGUUUCAUGUUGUUAUCCCAUCCACCUUACUACUGAAAUGGUUUACCAAAAUGAGUUUCAUAUACUACAUUGUAAACCUGAGAUGUGUUUGUUUGUUUCUCUUUUAGAACGCGGAUAAAAUAUUGGAGAAGAGUACCCUGUUAUGCAAUGGUAAAGGAAGUAAUGCAGAUAAGGUUCAAGAUAGUGAGACAUCCCUGUUGGUCCAAGAAAGCUGAUAAAAACUAUAUUGAAGACACUGAGACAACCCCAAAGUCCUGUCUUGAUGUAGUGUUCAAGUUACUGGCUACCACUGCUGGCACCAGCUCUUCGAACUCGUUGCCUCAAUCAAUUCGGCUUCUUGAGUCUCAACUUCAAGUUGAAAGACAUCGAUCAGAUGUUAUGCGACAGGAAGCCGAAGGACUGAGGAAGUCCCUGCAAAAUUCAGAUGCAUACUUUCUAGUGCAACAGCAAGCGCUGGAGGAAUUAAGCGCCAAACAAGAGAAAGUUAAUAAGCUUGCUAAGCAUCUUGCCAGAAUUAUGGGUACCCAGGAUAUUGUUUCUUGAACUCUUCUGAAGUGGUUUCAGUUCUGGACUUGUUUUGUUGCGGCGUUUAUAUGCUGCCGUGUUCCCUAUAUUUGCACUGGUGGCGAACUUUGAUGCCCAGUGGAUGUAAUAUGUGUAAUAGCCGUGAUAGCCUAGUGUAAGUUGCUUGCUUAUUUAUUUCCUUGUUGUCUUGUUUAUUUGUUUGCUUGUAGUCAGUGCAGUUCUUUUUCUGCGGUUUGCUAGUGGCUGCAAUAACCUAUUUUUUUAAAACUAGGCCACAAUAACCAUGGGCUAAUAUUUACUGUAGUGACACUGGGCCUCCUACGGGCCGUAGAAACAGUGGGCCUUCUAUGGACCUAAUUUUCUCGGCCGUCCAAUUUCAAUCGUAGGGACAAGAUAGCCCUACCCUAAUCCCUACCUUUUAAAACAAUCUAACCCACAUGGUACUUAUAGCAGAUGAAUCCCUACCCUUUUUGACAAACCCUAGACCAUUUCCCUUUGUUUCAGUGCGCCGCCGCCACUCCGUUUUCCUCGGGAUCCCUCCCGAUCCAGCCGACCCUGCCAAACUCCAUUGUUUCCAGGGAGGGCCAACCAUCUCCUCCCCAUGAUCCACCAAAUCCCCAACCUCGCAAGCCCCCUCGAUCCUCUCCCGAGCAGGUGCUCGCCCGGAGUCCCGUGCCCGCGUCCGGCAGAGGUCCGAGUUGCCGGGCCAGCAGAUGAGCUCCAUUCCCCAUUGCGCCUUUCUCCUCUCCUCUUCCUUCCUUCCUCCUCCCUCUCUCUCUCUCUCUCAUGCCCGAUCCUUCCUUCUCUGUCUCAGGUACCCUGGAGCCGCCAUGGAAGCCCCUACCACUCGACCUGGCCCUACCUCGUGGGAGAGAUCCUCACCGUCGCCGCGCCCGUUCCCGACCUCGACGACCACCUGCAGCCUCGCCAGGUUCGUCCUUGCAAGUCCCGCCGCCUUGCUUCGUCCUCUCUGUCCUCCCGUCGUGGAGCAGCACCGAGCUCGAGAGGAGCCCCGUUCGCGCCGGAUCCGCCGCACCCGCGGGUCCCCUGCCUCUGCAUCGCGUUUCUGGUCGGCCUUCCGCUCGUCGCCAUGACCGCACAGGUUCAAGCUCCGUCGCCCGUUGCCGUUCAUCAUGCUGUCCCGCGCGCCAACUGCCGGGAACCGGUUCCUCAUCGUCAAGACCUCCUGGGUCCGCGCCUCCAUCCGUUCCUUGCACUGCCUCGUCGCCGGAGUAGAAGCCCCAUCCGUCGCCGUUGCCUGCCUGCCUGCGACCUCUGCCUUGACCCGCCCCUGUUUCGUCCGAGGAGGAGGAAGAGCCCGUUUUCGUUCACUCGCGUUGACCGCACCCCUGCUUCGCCUCUUUCGCAGCGCCUCCUAGGCCCAGCUGCAACCUCCGCCAGCCCAAGCUGGCCUGCGGCACCGAACCAAGCCGGCCCAUCUACUCCUCUCCUUCGACCCAGCGCUCUCGCAGCCUGCAGCCAGCUCCAGCGACUGGGCCGAGGCCCAUGGUGAGCUCCCCAGUGCCCACCAGGUUUCAGCCUGCAUCUUUUUUUUCCGUUCUGGUGAUUUUAACAUUAUCCAGAGACUACCCAGUUUUGCAGAGAACCCCCUAGAUAUCAUGCAUUUUAUAACUCUUGAACCGUGCAUCGGAUUAAAAUGAUUUAAACAUGUAACUUGCGCAGUUUUUCAUCUAGUUUAAUAAUAUGCAACUUUCAUCUAUGUUUAAAAUGUUUAAAAUGAUGUUUGAUUAAAUUUGCUCCUAUGCCAUGCUAAAAUGACUUAAUUCAUAACUAAUUAACCGUAGCUCCAAAUUUAACAAACUUUAUAUGUAAAUGGGGUAGAAAAAUGCCUAGUUUAACAUGGUGCUUUCAUCUUGCAUGUUUAACAACCCUAAAAUUGUGUUUAGGGCAGAACAGUACCAAACCUAAUAUAUGCAUAUGAGGAGUUUCCGGACUUGUUGUUUUGUUGUUUCGGCCUCAUUUAAACUUGCCUAGAUUAGAUAGUUUCAUCAUGCUUCACCUCUUGCCAUGCUAACAACAUUUAAUAUUGUUGGGUACAUAAACGAGAUCGAACUAAAUAACUUGUCAUGGUGUUUCGUCAAUAUGCAACUCCAUUGCAUAAUGAGCUCCACUUAAUUUGUAGGAUUGUUUGUGCACUUUGCCAUGCCAUGCUUCAUUAAACCGGACAUGCAUCAUACUUGAUUGUGCAUCAUGCCAUGUUCAUGUCGUGGUUGUUUACUAUGUUGUUUGUUUCUUUCUGGUGUACUUCUUCUCGGUAAUCCGGUAACGUCGCGUUUGUGAGGACCCGUUCGGCUACGCCCGUUUGUCUUCUUCAUGGACUCGUUCUUCUUCCUCGUGGGAUCUCAGGCAAGAUGACCAUACCCUCGAAAUCACUUCUAUCUUUGCUUGCUAGUUGCUCGCUCUUUUGCUAUGCCUAUGCUGCGAUACCUACCACUUGCUUAUGAUGCCUCCCAUAUUGUUGAACCAAGCCUCUAACCCACCUUGUCCUAGCAAACCGUUGUUUGGCUAUGUUACCGCUUUGCUCAGCCCCUCUUAUAGCGUUGUUAGUUGCAGGUGAAGAUUGAAGUUUAUUCCUUGUUGGAACAUGGAGAUGUUGUUCCUUGUUGGAACAUGUUUACUUGUUGGGAUAUCACAAUAUCUCUUAUCUAAUUAAUGCAUCUAUAUACUUGGUAAAGGGUCGAAGGCUCGGCCUUAUGCCUGGUGUUUUGUUCCACUCUUGCCGCCCUAGUUUCUGUCAUAUCGGUGUUAUGUUCCCGGAUUUUUCGUUCCUUACGCGGUUGGGUUAUAAUGGGAACCCCUUGACAGUUCGCCUUGAAUAAAACUCCUCCAGCAAUGCCCAACAUUGGUUUUACCAUUCGCCGCCUAGCCUUUUCUUUCCCUUGGGUUCUGCAGACUUAAGGGUCAUCUUUAUUUAAACCCCCCCCCCCNNNNNNNNNNNNNNNNNNNNNNNNNNNNNNNNNNNNNNNNNNNNNNNNNNNNNNNNNNNNNNNNNNNNNNNNNNNNNNNNNNNNNNNNNNNNNNNNNNNNNNNNNNNNNNNNNNNNNNNNNNNNNNNNNNNNNNNNNNNNNNNNNNNNNNNNNNNNNNNNNNNNNNNNNNNNNNNNNNNNNNNNNNNNNNNNNNNNNNNNNNNNNNNNNNNNNNNNNNNNNNNNNNNNNNNNNNNNNNNNNNNNNNNNNNNNNNNNNNNNNNNNNNNNNNNNNNNNNNNNNNNNNNNNNNNNNNNNNNNNNNNNNNNNNNNNNNNNNNNNNNNNNNNNNNNNNNNNNNNNNNNNNNNNNNNNNNNNNNNNNNNNNNNNNNNNNNNNNNNNNNNNNNNNNNNNNNNNNNNNNNNNNNNNNNNNNNNNNNNNNNNNNNNNNNNNNNNNNNNNNNNNNNNNNNNNNNNNNNNNNNNNNNNNNNNNNNNNNNNNNNNNNNGCUGGUCUUGUUUUACCAUUGUCGAAAUGUCUUGUAACCGGGAUUCCGAGUCUGAUCGGGUCUUCCCGCUAGAAGGAAUAUCCUUCGUUGACCGUGAGAGCUUGUGAUGGGCUAAGUUGGGACACCCCUGCAGGGAUUUGAACUUUCGAAAGCCAUGCCCGCGGUUAUGGGCAGAUGGGAAUUUGUUAAUGUCCGGUUGUAGAAAACCUGAAGUUGCCCUUAAUUAAAAUACAUCAACCGCGUGUGUAACCUUGAUGGUCUCUUCUCGGUGGAGUCUGGGAAGUGAACACGGUGUUGGAGUUAUGCUUUACGUAGGUUGUUCUAGGAUCACUUCUUGAUCAUAGUUGUUCGACCGUGCUUUUGCCUUCUCUUCUUGCUCUCAUUUGCGUAUGUUUAGCCACCAAAUAUGCUAGUCGCUUGCUGCAGCUCCACUUCAUACCUUUUACCCUUCCUAUAAGCUUAAAUAGUCUUGAUCGCGAGGGUGUGAGAUUGCUGAGUCCCUGUGACUCACAGAUACUUCCAAAACCAGCUUGCAGGUGCCGUUGAACCGUGCAGAUGACGCAACCGAGCACAAGGCGGAGCUCGAUGAAGAUCGUGUCCUUUGUGUUGUUUCGUUCUAGUUCAUCAGUAGUGGAGCCCAGUUGGGGUCGAUCGGGGAUCUGUGUAGCAUUUGGGGUAGUCUUCUUUUAUUUUGGUUGCGUAGUCGGAUCUUGAGUGUAUUUGGAUGAUGUAAUGCUUUAUUCAUGUAAUUGUCUGAAGUGGCGAUUGUAAGCCAACUAUGUAUCUUUUCCCUUAUGUAUUACAUGGGUUGUGUGAAGAUUACCUCACUUGCGACAUUGCUUUCAAUGCGGUUAUGCCUCUAAGUCGUGCUUCGACACGUGGGAGAUAUAGCCGCAUCGAGGGCGUUACAAGUUGGUAAUCAGAGCCUUUGCCAACCUUAGGAGCCCCUGCUUGAUCGAAUCGCUGGCGUUAUUGAGUCUAGAAAUGUUUUGAGUCAUUUAGGAAUUAUAUAUAUAUCGGAGAGUUAGGACUUCUUUUUACUCCCCACUCCCUUCAUCACUCUGGUGAGGCAUCCUGACGUACAGUUUUGACUCUUCUCUUCUCAAAUUUCACUAAAAAAAAUUAGGAUCACGCGGGUAUCUUGGAAUCGUUCUGAUGGUUUUGUGACGAGAACAUUGUUCUUGGUGCCUCCUGACAUUUAGGGGUUGUGGCAGUGUCCCGGGGAGUUGAGCUCCGAGGUGUUGUCAUCACAAUUUUAUCGUUGCAGUUCUGGAAUACCUGAGUAUAGUUUCGCCGACAUCGAAAAUCUCUUUUAUGCAGUUGUUGGUGAGAUAACCUCGACGCCACCCAGUACUGGGGCGGGAGUUCGGGAGUAUUGCCAUAACUCGUAUAACGGAUGCUUUUUGAAGGUUGAGGUAAACGAUUUCCGAAGGUUUCUUGGUUAUGUGUUGAAGGAUGGAUACAGCUGGAUGUAGGAUUUGCUAGUUUUGGUUGAGAUAUUAUGCUUCCCCUGUAUCCCCAACACCUGAUUGCAUAACCGGAAAAUUUUCGGGAGUUUAUAAGUGGGAAUUCAAGUAGCUCUUAGGAUAUCUUUUCGACAGAUGUAUGAUACGAAAUUGGGGUUCGACGUCUAGUGGUCCACCUAUCCACGGUUGGUUUUACAAUGGUCUCGUUGUGUCUUAAAGAGUCCUUGGCUAUGCCGACUCGGGGACGCUUCGUAUGUCAUGUGCACUACCUUGUACAUGAUGGUGUUGUACGAUCGAGCCCGUGUAGGCCCCACCACGAAAACUUCGGACGAAAUCUCUAUCAUAUGUUUGUUCCGGCUUAUUCUGUAAGCCUAUCCUUGUUUUGUUUUGAGUGUGGUAUUCGAGUUUCUUCAAUGUCAAGUGUUGAUUCCAUACCUUUUUGAACCGGUGUUCUCAUACUCCAAUGAGAAUACUAUUCCUUCAUGAUAAUCGAGAUUGUCAUGUCAAUCCUUCUCACCGGUGUUUUUCUCUUCAAGUGAAUCCGAUCAUCUCUACAUCCACAAGAUCUAUUACUAGUUCUACUCAACGGUGUUGUCUUCAUCCGUUCCAAGUUGACUUUGUUUUUCCCACCCACCCACCCUUUUUAUUCGAGGACUCAGAUUUCUUAAUCAACUAUCCAUUUUAUUGAUGGAAGUCUCUCCAUUCUUACCCGGUGGUUCUCACGAAGAUUCUAAACGGAGCUUCAAGUUCGUCAUUCCUCAUUCUUUUUCUUCUCCGGUGGUUUCAAGUCAAGCUUUGUUGAUCAUACCUUUUCCUCAUUUCAAUGCUUUCUCAUGCUGGUGCAAUUCUUAUUCUUUCACCUCUCGCUAUUAUUUUGUUCCGGAGUGCUAGAGAUAUCUCAUAAGAUUUGUGUUUCCACUCUUAAUCCAUUCAAACUCUUUCGAGGGUGUUGUCUUAUUCAAGCCAUUUAAUUCAACCGGUGCAAUCUCUCCUUCAAAUCAUUCAACGGUGUAUCUUUUCAGUGGGCCCUAACCCACAGGUCUUUUCCAGGAUCUUACCUGACUCUUCUUAUUCUCCCGGAGUUAUUCUCAAAUUCAUUUCUAGUAUGACGUAAGAAUGAAUUAUCAUUAGUCAUAGGGUUUUUCUUCAAGAUCUGUCAAAUUCUUUUAAUCGUGGGCUCAACUUCUUCGCUUUUGAUUCUUCUGGAGUGCCUAAAUAAUCCAUGGUGGUGUUACUCGUCGUAAUUCUCAGAUUUUGAAGACCUAAGAAGAGUUCCUCUUAAAUCUUCCUCCGUUCUCGUGAAGAUUCAUGGUGCUAGACUUAUGCCAUCCUCUCAUAAUUGUUUUCGAUUGUGAGAAUUAUUUUGAACCAUCCGGAGUAAUUUAAGAGUCUUUUCAGUUUGUUUCUUUGAAGACCAUCAUUGCGGGGUUAUUCAUUCCAUCUUUCAGCUCUCGUUUCUCUAAAUCUUACCGGUGCAUCAUUCAAGUAAUCUCUAAUCAGUUCGUGAUUUAUUCGUUCAUUUGUAUCUAAAUCCCCUCAAGUAUCUUCAUUUGUUCUCUAAUUCUUCCAAGUGCUUCUUUAUCUUUUCUUCAAUCGUUUUCAAUUCUUACGGUGGUUCGUUCAAGAUUUCUCUUCCUUCUUUAUCAUAUCAAUUUAUUCGUUGUUUUCAAUCCUACCGGUGGUUCGUUGAAGACCUUUCCAAGUUGACUCUAUAUCUAUCUUAAUUCUUUCUACGAGAAUAAGUAGUAUGCCAAAGCCAUUGAUUGUCAUCAAUUUAAUUGGUGAAGGAUGAGCAUAACAUAAUUCUUAUUCUUGAUUCACCCAAGUGAUUAAUUCCCUAUUCCGGAGGCUCAUCAAAUUCCUGAUUUCAAUUGUUUUCAUCCUCUCUUUUUCCCGGAGUUCCAACCUUUUUCAAUUACAUCUCCACGGAGAUUCAUUUAAAUCAUUGCAAGGCUUCAACCUUAUCCUUUUCAUCCUCCAUUUCGUUUGAUCAUUCUUUUACCGGAGUUUUCACGAAGGCUCGACAUGGUGAUUCAUAUUUAAUUCCUUCUCGAAGUUUUUCAUCGAGAUUCAUUUCUAGGGAGCUCAAGUAUUCUUCAUCUUGCUAUCCGUAGUGCAAUUCUCUCUUCCAUACCAUUGGAGGUGGUAUUAUGUCAUUCUUGAUGAUUUCCCUUCGUGCUUCGUGAGUCACAAGUUAUCAAGAAUGAGAUAUUUUAAAUCCAUCAACCUUUUCGUUGGAGUUAUCUUUGGUUAUAUUUCACCUAAAGCUUUCCCUAAGGAUUGUGGCUAUUUAUGGUGCUUAUAAAUGAUCCAAGUUCUUCAUUUAUCCUCCCGGUGAAAUAAGUUUCUCGUCCCCUUGUUCUGAUCAAUCCAAUUCUUUUUUUCGUGAGUGGCAGGUUGUCACCUCAUAAUUUGAGAUGUAUUCCAUAAGACCAUACCAGUCUUAUUAUUUUCGUUGUUGGUUUUCCAACAACUCCGUUCUAGCAUUUGUUGUAAGCAUGCUCUCGUUUUUUCCCUUCGUUCAUUCCAUUCUUACUUUUCUUCCGGAGGCAUUGUGAUGCUGCUCUCUUCGACCCAUCAUCUUGUUUGUCAAGAUCUUGUUUCAAUUCCUUCCAUUUACAGGCAAAGUGUUGUCCAAAUUAUAUCAGUCUUAUUCCUUUGCUAUUUUGUUUUAACCGGAGUGUUGUGCCCUCUGCUCAAGUUCUUUUCAUCUUAUCAAGUCUUGUAUCACUUUUCAAUCGGAGUGCUGCCCGAAUUUAUUCUUCCUUGUUCCUCUUACUUAACGGAGUGCUUUCAACUUUGUUCUUCUCCAUUGCUUUCUUUCUUUCAUUUUGCUCAACCUUUUCAAGGUUCUUUGGUCUCACUCGUUUGUCAAAGAAGCAACUUAGUUUUACCUCUUCUCUUUCUCUUCCGUUUUCCCUCCGGUGCCAUUCUAGAUCUCGGAACGAGAUCCUUUCGUAGUGGUGGAGUGUUGUGACGCCCCGAGACCGAUGUGCCAGGUGUCUUCCAGCUAUUCGCUGUCGUUGCCAUGUCUUUUGCUUGCGUGUCGCAUCUUAUCAUGUCAUCAUGUGCAUUGCAUCCUCAUGUUUUAAAAAUUGCAUCCGUCCCGGCCUCCCUGUUUCUUCCGUUGUCCGUUCUGAGCCCAGACCCAUUUGCACGCGCCCACGGCAUGUCCGAAAUAGUAUUUUAUAAGUGGCCGGAAAAUGUUCUCGGAAUGGGAUGAAAAUUGGCGUGAGGUCUUAUUAUAGUGUAGAUAGACCGCCUGUCAAGUUUCAUCGCAUUCAGAGUUCGUUUGAUAGCCCAACCGUUAACUAUAGCGACAAUAUAGUCGGUCAAAACGUCGGACGUAUUCGGUCUCCAGAAACAGUCGCCGGGUCUCUCUCUUCUCUUCUCUCAGCCCAAGGCUUUCUGCACGGCCCACUACCUAACCGCCAGGCCCUACCUAACCUCUCUCGUCAGCCCAUGGCCAUCCUCGCGUGCGUCCGAAAAGUUGUCCCGGACCCGACCCGAGCAGUCACCACCAUUGUGUCCGGAUCAUACCCAAACGUCUACAAAACAUCAUCGUUUUCUUCUUUGACUCUCCUAACCUAAUUUUCUCGGCCGUCCGAUUUCAAUCGUAGGGACAAGAUAGCCCUACCCUAAUCCCUACCUUUUAAAACAGUCUAACCCACAUGGUACUUAUAGCAGAUGAAUCCCUACCCUUUUUGACAAACCCUAGACCAUUUCCCUUUGUUUCAGUGCACCGCCACCACUCUGUUUUCCUCGGGAUCCCUCCCGAUCCAGCCGACCCUGUCAAACUCCAUCGUUUCCAGCGAGGGCCAACCAUCUCCUCCCCAUGAUCCACCAAAUCCCCAACCUCGCAAGCCCCCUCGAUCCUCUCCCGAGCAGGUGCUCGCCCGGAGUCCCGCGCCCGCGUCCGGCAGAGGUCCGAGUUGCCAGGCCAGCAGAUGAGCUCCAUUCCCCAUUGCGCCUUUCUCCUCUCCUCUUCCUUCCUUCCUCCUCCCUCUCUCUCUCUCUCUCUCAUGCCCGAUCCUUCCUUCUCUGUCUCAGGUACCCUGGAGCCGCCAUGGAAGCCCCUACCACUGGACCUGGCCCUACCUCGUGGGAGAGAUCCUCACCGUCGCCGCGCCCGUUCCCGACCUCGACGACCACCUGCAGCCUCGCCGGGUUCGUCCCCGCGAGUCCCGCUGCCUUGCUUCGUCCUCUCCGUCCUCCCGUCGUGGAGCAGCACCGAGCUCGAGAGGAGCCCCGUUCACGCCGGAUCCGCCGCACCCGCGGGUCCCCUGCCUCUGCAUCGCGCCUCUGGUCGGCCUUCCGCUUGUCGCCAUGACCGCACAGGUUCAAGCUCCGUCGCCCGUUGCCGUUCAUCACGCCAUCCCGCGCGCCAACUGCCGGGAACCGGUUCCUCAUCGUCAAGACCUCCUGGAUCUGCGCCUCCAUCCGUUCCUUGCAAUGCCUCGUCGCCGGAGUAGAAGCCCCAUCCCUCGUUGUUGCCUGCCUGCGACCUCUGCCUUGACCUGCCCCUGUUUCGUCCGAGGAGGAGGAUGAGCCCGUUUUUGUUCAGUCGCAUUGACCGCACCCCUGCUUCGCCUCUUUCGCAGCGCCUCCUAGGCCCAGCUACAACCUCCGCCAGCCCAAGCCGGCCUGCGGCACCGAACCAAGCCGGCCCAUCUACUCCUCUCCUUCGACCCAGCGCUCUCGCAGCCUGCAGCCAGCUCCAGCGACUGGGCCGAGGCCCAUGGUGAGCUCCCCAGUGUCCACCAGAUUUCAGCCUGCAUCUUUUUUUUCCGUUCUGGUGAUUUUUAACAUUAUCCAGAGACUACCCAGUUUUGCAGAGAACCCCGUAGACAUCAUGCAUUUUAUAACUCUUGAACCGUGCAUCGGAUUAAAAUGAUUUAAACAUGUAACUUGCGUAGUUUUUCAUCUAGUUUAAUAAUAUGCAACUUUCAUCUAUGUUUAAAAUGUUUAAAAUGAUGUUUGAUUAAAUUUGCUCCUAUGCCAUGCUAAAAUGACUUAAUUCAUAACUAAUUAACCGUAGCUCCAAAUUUAACAAACUUUAUAUGUAAAUGGGGUAGAAAAAUGCCUAGUUUAACAUGGUGCUUUCAUCUUGCAUGUUUAACAACCCUAAAAUUGUGUUUAGGGCAGAACAGUACCAAACCUAAUAUAUGCAUAUGAGGAGUUUCCGGACUUGUUGUUUUGUUGUUUCGGCCUCAUUUAAACUUGCCUAGAUUAGAUAGUUUCAUCAUGCUUCACCUCUUUCCAUGCUAACAACAUUUAAUAUUGUUGGGUACAUAAACGAGAUCGAACUAAAUAACUUGUCGUGGUGUUUCGUCAAUAUGCAACUCUGUUGCAUAAUGAGCUCCACUUAAUUUGUAGGAUUGUUUGUGCACUUUGCCAUGCCAUGCUUCAUUAAACCGGACAUGCAUCAUACUUGAUUGUGCAUCAUGCCAUGUUCAUGUCGUGGUUGUUUACUAUGUUGUUUGUUUCUUUCUGGUGUACUUCUUCUCGGUAAUCCGGUAACGUUGCGUUUGUGAGGACCCGUUCGGCUACGUCCGUUUGUCUUCUUCAUGGAAUCGUUCUUCUUCCUUGCGGGAUCUCAGGCAAGAUGACCAUACCCUCGAAAUCACUUAUAUCUUUGCUUGCUAGUUGCUCGCUCUUUUGCUAUGCCUAUGACGCGAUACCUACCACUUGCUUAUCAUGCCUCCCAUAUUGUUGAACCAAGCCUCUAACCCACCUUGUCCUAGCAAACCGUUGUUUGGCUAUGUUACCGCUUUGCUCAGCUCCUCUUAUAGCAUUGUUAGUUGCAGGUGAAGAUUGAAGUUUAUUCCUUGUUGCAACAUGGAGAUGUUGUUCCUUGUUGGGAUAUCACAAUAUCUCUUAUCUAAUUAAUGCAUCUAUAUACUUGGUAAAGGGUCGAAGGCUCGGCCUUAUGCCUGGUAUUUUGUUCCACUCUUGCCGCCCUAGUUUCCGUCAUAUCGGUGUUAUGUUCCCGGAUUUUGCGUUCCUUACGCGGUUGGGUUAUAAUGGGAACCCCUUGACAGUUUGCCUUGAAUAAAACUCCUCCAGCAAUGCCCAACAUUGGUUUUACCAUUCGCCACCUAGCCUUUUCUUUCCCUUGGGUUCUGCAGACUCAAGGGUCAUCUUUAUUUAAACCCCCCCGGGCCAGUGCUCCUCUGAGUGUUGGUCCAAACUAGAGCCCUGUGCAGCGCCCCCUCGGGGAAACUCGAGGUUUGGUUUUAGUUGUAUGGAGAGCUCAUCUGAGUGUGCCCUGAGAACGAGAUAUGUGCAGCUCCUAUCGGGAUUUGUCAGCACAUUCGGGUGGUGUUGCUGGACUUGUUUUACCAUUGUCGAAAUGUCUUGUAACCGGGAUUCCGAGUCUGAUCGGGUCUUCCCGCUAGAAGGAAUAUCCUUUGUUGACCGUGAGAGCUUGUGAUGGGCUAAGUUGGGACACCCCUGCAGGGAUUUGAACUUUCGAAAGCCGUGCCCGCGGUUAUGGGCAGAUGGGAAUUUGUUAAUGUCCGGUUGUAGAAAACCUGAAGUUGACCUUAAUUAAAAUACAUCAACCACGUGUGUAACCGUGAUGGUCUCUUCUCGGCGGAGUCCGAGAAGUGAACACGGUGUUGGAGUUAUGCUUUACGUAGGUUGUUCUAGGAUCACUUCUUGAUCAUAGUUGUUCGACCGUGCUUUUGCCUUCUCUUCUCGCUCUCAUUUGCGUAUGUUUAGCCACAAAAUAUGCUAGUCGCUUGGUGCAGCUCCACUUCAUACCUUUUACCCUUCCUAUAAGCUUAAAUAGUCUUGAUCGCGAGGGUGUGAGAUUGCUGAGUCCCCGUGACUCAUAGAUACUUCCAAAACCAGCUUGCAGGUGCCGUUGAACCAUGCAGAUGACGCAACUGAGCUCAAGGCGAAGCUCGAUGAAGAUCGUGUCCUUUGUGCUGUUUAGUUCUAGUUGAUCAGUAGUGGAGCCCAGUUGGGGUUGAUCGGGGAUCUGUGUAGCAUUUGGGGUAGUCUUCUUUUAUUUUGGUUCCGUAGUCGGACCUUGAGUGUAUUUGGAUGAUGUAAUGCUUUAUUCAUGUAAUUGUGUGAAGUGGCGAUUGUAAGCCAACUAUGUAUCUUUUCCCUUAUGUAUUACAUGGGUUGUGUGAAGAUUACCUCACUUGCAACAUUGCUUUCAAUGCGGUUAUGCCUCUAAGUCGUGCUUCGACACGUGGGAGAUAUAGCCGCAUCGAGGGCGUUACAUACGUCUAGGCAUACCCUCGAGAAAAAAGAAGUUAACAAGUCUGAGAUUUCAUUUGCUACAUGCAUGCCGUAUUGCAAUAGCUUGUGUCACCCCCUCUAUUCCUGAAUAUAUCUUUUUAGAGAUUUUAAUAUGGACAACAUAUAAAUAUAAGUCUUUCUAGAGAUUUCAAACUACUCCCUUCGUCCGAUAAAAGUGUACAUAUAGAAAUUUUAGGCCAAAUUAUAAAGUGAAGUAAAAAAUCACACGAAAGGUGCAAGCCACUAUCUCUCUUCUUUUUAAUUAGCCAACCCGAGUACGCUAACAGCUUGUUUGGUUGAGGAUAUUAAAGGUAUGGAAUGGGAAUUUAAGGUGACAUAUUUGUUCGGUUGGAGGGCAAGGGAAUUGAGGUGGAAUGGGGAAAGAAAUUAAGGAGCUCAAUUCCCGUGUAUCUCUUUCCAGCCUCCACUUGUUAAUUCACGUGCGGAGUUAUUUUUUCUCAAAUUUCCUUUAUUAAUUUCCAUCACACACCAAACAUAGAAUUGAGACUAAAAUUCAACUUCCCACGCCUAAUCACUUACUGAACUCCCAUUCCCUUUCCUCAUUCUAGCCAAACAAACUUCAUGUAUUAGCGUCGUCAGUUCUUUUGCUGCGCGCCACGCCCCCCGCCCCCAGCCCUCCCUCCCGCCGCCGGCCACUUCGGCCGCGGCGUCCACCUCCCCUGCCACUGACCACCUCGGUCGUGGUGUCCACCCCCCUUGCUGGUCCUCCGGCCCCGGGUGCGAUGACGGGCGGCUCCUCUAGCCUGCCUUAGGUCUCCUCGAUGUUUCCUAGGCCGCAGCUAGUGGUUUCUGGACUGGGCCUCUCUGGAUCCCCUGGAUCCAGCCACGCUGCCUCUUCCGGUGGGGCGAGCCAGCAGGUGGCUGCCCUGUCGGCGGCUCAGGUGGAUUGAUUCCGUCACCCUAGGCCCUCCCGCAAAGUGAUGUGGCACUGCCAGUGGGCGCAGCGGCGUCAGCUGGAAGCUGGCUCGUUCGCUCGCAGGGUGUUGUCCUCGCCGUCUUCUUCGUGGGAGAGGAAGGAGUUUCCGAUCAAGCUGCAAGGUCUCUGCUUUAAGUGCUUCGGGGAUGACCACAAGAAGAAGGACUGCACCAACCAUCCCAUGUGCUUCCGCUGUGGCUUUGAAGGCCAUGAAUCGUUCCAAUGCAAGCGUCAUCGGAGUCCAGCUUCGGAGCGAGAGCUGAUUCGGGCGGUCCUGGCCAAGAUGGGUUGCCUGGCUCUGUCUGCUGUGGUGGCUAGUGUUGAGAGACAUACCUCACCGGCGCCUAGGCAGGAAGUACCCUUGGUACCUCCCUCGCCGGCGGCGGCUGAGCCUUUGUCCUUAGUAUGGCCAUCGACCCAGGUCUCUUCUGGGGUCAUCUGCGUUCUCCGCCGCUCCCGGAAGAUGGACGACAUGGAGCGCCGGCUUCGUCUGGUGAUGGUGGCCUACAUUGGGGGUGUGAGGCUGUCGGUCUCCUGUGUGGAGGCGGUGGAAGCCAUUUCAGUGUAGUUGGAGAUUCCGCGUCAUCGCGUCUCUGUUCAUCGUUUCCAGCCGGAGGAUUUCCUGAUCGUCUUUGCCACUCUGGAGCUUCGUAACAUCGCCCUCCGUGACAUCCCUGUUGACAAUGGAAGCUUCAAGCUUUUCUUUAAGCCAUGGUUGCGGCGGGCGCAAGCUACCGCUAAGGCCAUGAGGGUGCAGGUGGAUCUCAUGAUCGAGGAAAUCCCUUCACAUGCGUGGUAUCAAGAUACGGCUGCUGAGCUCCUUGGGACUGCUUGCAAAAUUGACAACUUGGCGCCUGAAACAGCGGAGAGAUCAGAUUUGUUGUUGUUCAAGGUUCGUGCUUGGUGUGUGCAGCCGGAGGAUAUCCUGGUGGACAAGAAGCUGUGGAUCCCUGAACCGGAAUUGGAAGAUGUGCAGCAGCAGCGUGCAUCGUCUCGCCAAUUCCUGGAGUGCUCGACGCUCAUUCACAUUGGCAGGCUCUUGGAUUUCAAUGCCCCGGAGAACUGGCGCCGUCCGGCGAGUUCUAGCAGUAGCGGUCAGAGUGGGUUGUCGGACGAUUCCGAUGGUUUCUCGGGAGGAGGGGGUCGCCAGGUGCUGCCAUGGACGCGCGGCAAGAGAGAUGACCGUGGUGGAGCUGCUGGGCCUGCCGGCAUUGGAGCCACUGGCAGGUCCUUCAGGCAAGUUUUGAUGGGCAGGUUGGGUGAGUCCAGCUGGCGUCUGCCUACUAUUGGAUCCAGCAACUGGCAGGUGGCAGGAGCGCCGACUAGCCGGAUUAGCACCUCCGGUGAGCUCUUGGCAUCGAGACAGGUGGUGCUGGUGCCAACGUCCUAGGCUGGCACACCGAAUCCUUGUGGCCGUCCUGUGGCUGCUGAGGCACAGCACACAGCGGCGCUCCCGAGGCUACUGGUUGACGUAGAUCCUGUGCCGGUGACAGUUGUCCCGCUGGCAAGGGUGACACUACCGGUACCCAUGGGCCCCAGGGUGGAUGUGGUGGUUGUGCCAACAGUGUUGGAGAUUCCCUCUAUCCACCUAUCGUUGGCCAAUCAGAGUGUGGUCGUGCCAUGUGGCAGUCGACAAAGAUGGGGUUGUUUUGGAAGGAGACAGAGACAGUGGCCCGCAGGAUCCCGAGGGGGAAGUGGCGGGCUCUACGGGCGGACCAGUUGAUGGGCCCCUUGAGGAGAUCAUGUCGGCCACCUCCCCAUUGGUGCCAGCUGGUGGGCCCCAGGAGAUUCCCUAGCAACGGGAUGUGACCCAGCCGUGCAACCUAUCACUGGCAGGAGAAACAGAUGUGACACGCACAUGCAACAUGCUAGAUAUUGCCACCACGCCUCCCAUGGCUCAGAUGGACGUGUUGCCUGGUGCGGAUGGUAGCGAUCAAAUGGUGCAAUGCCUGACGGAAAAAGAAAGAGUGGCAAUGGGGAAGCUGAAAUCCUUCUGUGCGGGACUUCUCAAGAAACUAGCACCACCGCUGCUUAAGGAAAUCGAAGCAAUCAAAGGGGUGCAUAUGGGGUAGGACCCGUUCACUCCUAGAUGCACCACCCGCUCGGUGAGCACUGCGGCGCCAAGAAAGCAAAAGGCCUCUGUUGCUGAAGCGGUACUGCUCAAGACUCUGGGAGUUGCAGAUGACGACCUUGCGGUCCAUGACGGUGCUAUGAGAAUUCUUAAAGAGAUAUUUGAUUCACCUAUUCAGGAACGUUAACUUAGAGCGAUAGCAGCAACCUUUGGCAAGUCUAUUCCCAUGGACUUGGAUAUGCUGGAUGGAGAAAUGAUAGUGGGCAUUGCGUGAGUAAGUAGAUUACUACCAGUUGGAUGCUAGACUUCUUGAUGUCUGGCACCAAUGUGGAGUUGGUGUGUUGGAAUGUGAGAGGCCUCAAUAGUCCGGCCAAGAAGAAGGCCCUUAGGGAAUUUGUAGAUUCUAUCAAUGUCACUAUCAUUUGUAUCCAGGAGACCAAAUUGGUUGUGGUGGACCGCUUUACUAUUCUGCAAUGUCUUGGUCCCGCAUACGAUGGUUUUGCCUAUCUCCCUGCCAAUGUGACACGUGGAGGUAUAUUGUUGGCAUGGAAUUUGACUCUAGUUCAGGUGUCCAACCUGGUCAAUGACUCGAAUUUCAUCACGGGCUAUGUUGCUCCUCUAGUGGGAUCGCCCGGGUGGCUAUCUGUUGUGUAUGGCCCCAGGAGGACGCGGAGAAAAUUGCUUUUUUGGACGAAUUGGUGGAAAGGCGCGCUCUUUGCCCGGGACCUUGGACGGUGAUCGGCGACUUCAACCUCAUCAUGUGUGCUUCUGACAAGAGCAACGCCAACCUUGAUAGGAGGAUGAUGGGCAGAUUUAGGCGUUUUAUCGACAACAUGGAACUGAAAGAGCUCUUCCUUCAUGGGCGCAAAUUCACUUGGAGUAAUGAGCGAGAGCUAGCCACCCUCACCAAGAUCGAUCGUGCUCUCGUCUUGGUUGACUGGGAAUUGGAUUACCCCAAUUGCAUGUUGCAAGCAUUGUCCACUGAUAUAUCUGAUCAUUGUCCCCUGCACCUUGCACUAGAGGAACACAUUCUCACACCUAGGCGCUUCAGGUUUGAAGUUUUCUGGACCAAGAUCGACGGAUUCGAGGAGGUUGUGAAGGACGCGUGCGCACCGGGCAUCACGGAUCAGUAUAAGCGCCUUGAUGAGCUUCUUAGGAACACCGCCAAAUUUCUCAUGGCUUAGGGCAGAAAAAGAUUGGCAAUGUCAAAAUUCAGAUGGCAAUCGCGAGGUUGGUUAUCAAGUUGUUUGACAAGGCCAUGGAAGACAGAAACCUGACUACGGAGGAGAGAUGGCUCCGUGGUCUUUUGAAAAAGACUCUGCUUGGCCUGGCUUCGCUGGAAAGAACGAUGGCUAGGUAGCGAUCUCGGAUCAAAUGGCUUCGUGAGGGCGAUGCAAAUUCAAAAUUCUUCUAGCUUUUUGCGAACGGGGGGAAGGCCAAGAACUACAUUCCGGCGAUCUCGGUCAAAGGACAGAUCACCGAUUAGUAGGGAAAGGAGACGGCUUCCCAUCAGGCUUACGAGGAGAUUUUGGGCACAUCCAGGGCGAGAGAGUUCACUCUUGAUCUGCAAUAUCUGAAUAUGGAGCCCAUCGAUUUGUCCGAUCAGGACACCAUUUUUUCAAAGGAGGAAAUCAGGAAGGUCAUAAAAUACAUGCCAGCUGACAGAGCGUCGGGGCCGGACGGAUUCAUUGGGCUCUUCUUCCACAAAGCUUGGCCCAUAAUUAAGGGAGACGUGAUUGCUGCGAUUCAGAAGUUUAUGCUGGAUAAUGGACGAGGUUUUGGCAGGUUCAAUAAGGCGUUGAUCACUCUAAUCCCAAAAAAACCAGAUGCUUCAGAGAUAGGGGAUUUUAGACCGAUCAGCUUGCUCCACAACAUCCCUAAGAUCUGUGCCAAGCUAUUGGCAACCAAAGUUAGUAGGCGCAUGGAGGAGAUGAUUCACUCAAACCAAUCAACUUUUAUCAAGGGCAGAAAUCUACAUGACAAUUUCAUGCUUGUGCGUCAAGUGGCGAGGAACUUGUACAAACGGAAAGCUAAGGGUGUGAUGGUGAAGAUGGAUAUCUCAAGAGCGUUUGAUUCGCUCUCCUGGCCGUUCCUUUUUGAAGUGCUUCGUGCGAAAGGAUUCUCUGAUAGAUGGAGAUCGCUCAUUGCCACGCUGUUAUCCUCGGCCAGCUCUAGAGUGAUUGACAAUGGCAACGUAGGAGAGAAGAUCAUGCAUGCACGUGCCUGAGGCAGCGCGACUCAAUCUCCCCUCUCCUGUUUGUCAUUGCUAUGGAUGCCCCGUCACCUCUCAUCGUUCGGGCCCAACAAACUGGAGUCCUAAGCCCGAUGCUCGGAUGCUCUCUGAUACAACGGCUCUCGAUCUAUGCAGAUGAUGUAGUUCUCUUCAUCAGGCCGACACACAUGGAUCUAGCGUUUGUCAAGGAAGUAAUGCACAUCUUUGGAGAGGCCUCGUGACUGAAGAUUAACUACCAAAAAUCUCAGCGAUCCUGAUUAGGACGGACUUGGGGGACACCGAGAGAUUAGCCGCAGCCCUACCUUGGAGGAUUCAGAGUUUUCCGUGCAAGUAUCUUGGCCUCCAACUCUCGAUCAAACAACUAACACGCAAUCAGUGGUAGCCAAUGGUUGACGCAACGCUCAAAUUUCUGCCAGCAUGGAUGAGAGGCCUGAUCACAAGGUCGGACAGGUUGAUUCUAAUCAACAACGUCGUGAGGGCUAGGCCUACCCAUCAUCUUAUCGUGGCCAAUGCUCCAAAGUGGGCCUUGGACAGUAUCGACAGAGGAUGUAAGGCGUUCUUUGGGAUGGAACAGAGGAGAUCCACUGUGGGAAGUGUCUGGUGGCCUAGCGCCGGGUAUGCCGGCCGAAGGAGCUUGGCGGGCUAGGUGUGAUAAAUCUACAUACUCAAGGAAUUGCCCUGAGACUCACAUGGGCAUGGCUCAGACGUACUGACAACUCCAAACCUUGGCAGGGUCUGACUAUGUCGGCGGACAAGGAGAUGCAAGCAGCUUUCGCUAGCUUAGUGCAUUGGACUUUGGGCAAUGGGAGCCAAAUCUUGUUUUGGAAGGAUAGAUGGAUCCAGGGACUCCGCAUAGCGGAAAUUGCACCGCUGGUAGUAGCACAAGUAAGAACUCAAACGGUGAAUCGACGGUUGGCAAGGGAAGGGCUGACUUCAAGUAAUUGGAUCAAUGACAUCAAUGGGGAGCUGUCCACCGAGGGACUUGUCCAAUUCAUCCACCUGUGGGAGAUCUUAAGUGUUGCAUAUCUUGACACUUCAAUGGAAGAUCAAGUGAUCUGGAAGUGGUCGGCAUCGGGACAGUACUCGACUUCAUCUGCUUACCAUAUUAUGAACGAGGGAGCUGUCAGACUAGGAUGCGCCAAAGGACUGUGGAAAUCCUUGGGCCCAUUAGGUUGCAUAUUGUUCAUGUGGUUGGCGCUGCAGCGAAGACUUUGGACCUUCGAUCGAAGAUUUCGGCAUGGAUUACAGGACGCAACAUUAGUGUGUUUCCUUUGUGAUCAAGAGGAAGACUCGGUGGAUCAUAUAAUGCUCCAAUGUGUUUACUCGAGGCAAGUGUGGUUCCAAUGCUUCUGGUGGGCCUAGAUUGACAUGCAGAUGCUUCGCUGGCCAACCGCCCGAAAGCGGAUCCCCAAGAGGUAUCAAAAGGGGUUUGACUCGCUGGUGCUACUGACUUGUUGGAGUAUUUGAAAGCAAAGGAAAAGACGAGUUUUUGAUGGCCAAGGCAUUAGCAAUGAAGAGGAACUUUCCACGAAGAUCUACCAAGAGCUACGACUUUGAUUAGCGACAGGAGCGAGGAGUGUACAACACUUAUGUGAGUAGUCGUGUAUGAUAGGAGUGGGAGUGGGAGUCUUAUUGGCAUCACCAACCACAUGUGAGGGCCAGAACAAUCUUCUUGUAAUUAUUUCUUCCUUUUAUAAAGCUUAGGAUGUUAUAAAUGAAGGUCAUUUUAGCCAAACACGUUGUAAAUGAAGGUCACUUUAGCCAAACACGUUGCAAAUGAAGACCACAUAUAGAAUGUUAUUGUUGUUUUACCACCUGAAGAUAAAAGAAAUUAGAAAUAUAGAAAUACACUCUUGUGGACAAAUUUUAAAGCAUUGAAAAGAUAGAAAUACAUUCUUUUAUGGACAAAUUUUGAAGACAAAUGUACAUUCUUCGCCGGACGGAAUACAUAGAAACAUACAUAGACAAAAAAAAUUGGAGCAUAGAUUCACUCAUUUACAUUUCGCUGGACGGAGUACAUACAAACGUAUGUAAGACAUAGUUUAGAAUGGAGAUUCACUCAUUCUAAUGUAGAUUUAUUUGCAGCAUCCAAAGAAAUAACUGUAUCCACGUCAACACAUUCCCUGCCAUGCGCAAUCUAAUUCCUAAUCCUAAACAAUCAAGAAGCAGGACUUGUAGCAUCCAAAGCAGGAUGUAACCAUUGUCCACAGAUUCAGACCAGGCUGCCAUCCGGGAUCAAAAUCCUAAUCCUGAACAAUCAAGAAGCAGGACUUAUAGCAUCCAAAGCAUGAUGUAUCUAUGUCAACACAUUCAGACCAGGCUGCCAUCCGGGAUCAAAAUCCUAAUCCUAAACCAUCAAGAAGCAGGUAGCACCACCCAGCAAAUCAAACUCUACACGCAGCAGAUAAGAGCAUCCAGACAAUAAUGCUGAUGCAUGCAAAAGCAUAAAGUACUUGAUGGCCGAAUAUUAGCAGCAAAUAAAGCUCCAAAACAGAGUUCAUACAGUUGGAUAGAUUGGUCAUGAUAGCAAAACUCCUGGUACAACUAAAAGCAACGAUAACAGGCCUACUAAAGUGCAGGUUUCUGGAAUAAGCGAGUUGACAGAUGAGAAGAAUGGCGCCACCAUGCCAAGCAAGUACGCCCGCAGUCAGCCGCAGCCAAAGACACACAUAGGAAGCUACAGCACACCGUCACCACCCCCAUCAGCCUACUUGGAUCGCUGCCUCAUCUUUCGGCGCUUCCUCUUCAGCCUCCUCAUGCGCUUCUUCUUCCACUGAAUCAAGAGAUAAGCCAAGUUAAAAAGGAUACAUGAUCACAUAAAUUAUUCAAUAAAACAAGAAUAGAAGG